rnacentral:rRNA from 1 species
GACGAACGCUGGCGGCGUGCCUAAUACAUGCAAGUCGAGCGGAUUGAUGGGAGCUUGCUCCCUGAUAUCAGCGGCGGACGGGUGAGUAACACGUGGGCAACCUGCCUAUAAGACUGGGAUAACUUCGGGAAACCGGAGCUAAUACCGGAUAAUCCCUUUCCUCUCAUGAGGAAAGGCUGAAAGAUGGUUUACGCUAUAACUUAUAGAUGGGCCCGCGGCGCAUUAGCUAGUUGGUGAGGUAACGGCUCACCAAGGCAACGAUGCGUAGCCGACCUGAGAGGGUGAUCGGCCACACUGGGACUGAGACACGGCCCAGACUCCUACGGGAGGCAGCAGUAGGGAAUCUUCCGCAAUGGACGAAAGUCUGACGGAGCAACGCCGCGUGAGUGAUGAAGGUUUUCGGAUCGUAAAACUCUGUUGUUAGGGAAGAACAAGUACGAGAGUGACUGCUCGUACCUUGACGGUACCUAACCAGAAAGCCACGGCCAACUACGUGCCAGCCGCCGCCGUAA